rnacentral:rRNA from 1 species
CCUACGGGACGCAGCAGUGGGGGAUAUUGCACAAUGGGGGGAACCCUGAUGCAGCGACGCCGCGUGAAGGAAGAAGUAUCUCGGUAUGUAAACUUCUAUCAGCAGGGAAGAAAAUGACGGUACCUGACUAAGAAGCCCCGGCUAACUACGUGCCAGCAGCCGCGGUAAUACGUAGGGGGCAAGGGUUAUCCGGAAUCACUGGGUGUAAAGGGAGCGUAGACGGCUGAGCA